AUUGAACGCUGGCGGCAGGCCUAACACAUGCAAGUCGGGCGAGCCGCGGACGGGAGAGUAAUGUAUGGGGAUCUGCCUUAGGGAGGGGUAUCACUACUGGAAACGGUAGCUAAUACCGCAUACUCUCAUAUUAACCCAUAUGGGUUUAGCUUGUAGGUGAGGUAACGGCUUACCUAGGCGACGAUCCCUAGCUGGUCUGAGAGGAUGAUCAGCAACACUGGGACUGAGACACGGCCCAGACUCCUACGGGAGGCAGCAGUGGGGAAUAUUGCACAAUGGGCGCAAGCCUGAUGCAGCCAUGCCGCGUGUAUGAAGAAGGCCUUCGGGUUGUAAAGUACUUUCAGUCGGGAGGCGUUACCGACAGAAGAAGCACCGGCUAACUCCGUGCCAGCAGCCGCGGUAAUAC
rnacentral:rRNA from 1 species